GCUGGUUAGCUUAAUCGGUAGAGCGCUUCACUGAAGAUGGAGAGGUCCCUGGUUUGAUACCAGGACCAGGCG
rnacentral:tRNA from 1 species